AAAUAUUAUUUUACUUUGAUGUGCCAGGCAUUUGAAACAUUCAUAAAACUGCCUUGUUUCAAAAACAAUUUUCUCACAGGUACAGAUUCUGUGUCCAGGAUCAGAGACAUGUACAUCACUGCAUUUUCUCUAUAGCUCCCCAUGCUGCAUGCAACCUACUUUGGCACUUUGUCCUUGUCCCACCACCACAACCACACAGGCAGAAACCACCCACAGAUGCAACCGCAAUUAUUGAAAACAUUUGUAGCUUCCCUGACGCUGGUUUGGUGGCUCUGCUACCCCAAGAUAUUCAAUACAUGCAACCAGCCUCUCAGGAAGCAAGCGAAGUUCCAUGCCAGCUGCUCCACACACCAGCAUCUGCUCCAGUCUCUCCUGCAAACACCAAGGCACUUAAAUAUUCUUGGUAAAAUGGAUUUUAUAAUUGCCAUAGGAGUCAAGUGUGAGAAGGUGUUUUUCUCUCAUUACUCAUGAAUUUACUUUAGCACAUAUUUAAUACUCAUAAAUUCAUCUGUAUUUGUUGCCAAGGUUUCAUAAACUGUUUACGUAGAUAAAAGCAGGUUUGAGUUGCCAGAUACUAUGAUAAGAAGCAACUAGACAGUCUGCUUUGACACUGCUUGUUUGAACUAGGAAUAUUGUAUGUCUGUAAACAUUUGGC